AUGCUGUGACCCAAGGGAAGAGGGGGAAUGGGAUUUAAAGAUCUAAGGUUGUUCAAUCAAGCCUUGCUAGCACGUCAAGCAUGGCGUUUAAUACAAUUCCCAGAGAGCCUAUGUGCACAGGUCCUACGGGCCAAGUACUAUCCGUCCGGCUCCAUCACGGAUACAGUCUUCACAGGUAAUGGAUCGUCGACGUGGUGUGCCAUUGAAUAUGGGCUCGAGCUAGUUAAGUAG
rnacentral:rRNA from 1 species